rnacentral:rRNA from 1 species
CCUACGGGAGGCAGCAGUCGGGAAUAUUGCGCAAUGGAGGAAACUCUGACGCAGUGACGCCGCGUAUAGGAAGAAGGUCUUCGGAUCGUAAACCUCUGUCAGCAGGGAAGAACGGUCACUGUGCUAAUCAGCAGUGAAUUGACGGUACCUGCAAAGGAAGCACCGGCUAACUCCGUGCCAGCAGCCGCGGUAAUACGGAGGGUGCGAGCGUUAAUCGGAAUUACUGGGCGUAAAGCGCUCGUAGGCGGUAUGUCAAGUCAAGGGUGAAAUCCCCGCGCUCAACGUGGGAACUGCCUUUGAAACUGGCAGACUGGAGUGUGUGAGAGGAUAGUGGAAUUCCAGGUGUAGGAGUGAAAUCCGUAGAUAUCUGGAGGAACAUCAGUGGCGAAGGCGACUAUCUGGCACAUAACUGACGCUGAGGAGCGAAAGCGUGGGUAGCAAACAGGAUUAGAUACCCCUGUAGUC